AGGUGAGAGGCUGCUGAAAGCUCUGGGGGAACAAGCGAGCAGCUUUAAAGCAGACUCCAGACUGGCACUAGCACAAGUUCUGAGUCACGGGGCUGUGCUGUCAUUCACUGGUGUGCGGCGAUAUUGCGCCUGAAAGAGAGUGCUGUCUUCUGUCAUUGUGGCUUCCUUGGUGGGUUUGGCAGAGUUGUACAGGCUGCUUUGGACAAUGGAAGGAGAACUUGGAGAGUUAUAGCUGUAUAAGUGAUAAACUGAUCUGUUUGAUGUACCCUCAACGUAUGCCUAUAAAAUGUACAUGAUUUGCUACAUAGAUAUUUGUUUCUGACCUGCAGCAAACCUAGUUCCUUUGGAAUUUGUUUGUACAUAUUAUAUAGCUUUACUGUGCCUGAACACGUUGCACUGAUUAUUGUAAAAUA